AGUGAACGCUGGCGGUAGGCCUAACACAUGCAAGUCGAACGGCAGCACAGUAAGAGCUUGCUCUUACGGGUGGCGAGUGGCGGACGGGUGAGGAAUACAUCGGAAUCUACUUUUUCGUGGGGGAUAACGUAGGGAAACUUACUCUAAUACCGCAUACGACCUACGGGUGAAAGCAGGGGAUCUUCGGACCUUGCGCGAUUGAAUGAGCCGAUGUCGGAUUAGCUAGUUGGCGGGGUAAAGGCCCACCAAGGCGACGAUCCGUAGCUGGUCUGAGAGGAUGAUCAGCCACACUGGAGCUGAGACACGGUCCAGACUCCUACGGGAGGCAGCAGUGGGGAAUAUUGGACAAUGGGCGCAAGCCUGAUCCAGCCAUACCGCGUGGGUGAAGAAGGCCUUCGGGUUGUAAAGCCCUUUUGUUGGGAAAGAAAAGCAGCAGGUUAAUACCCCGCUGUUCUGACGGUACCCAAAGAAUAAGCACCGGCUAACUUCGUG
rnacentral:rRNA from 1 species